rnacentral:rRNA from 1 species
GACGAACGCUGGCUGCGUGCUUAACACAUGCAAGUCGAACGCUGAAACCCUGGUGCUUGCACCGGGGUGGAUGAGUGGCGAACGGGUGAGUAACACGUGAGUAACCUGCCCCCGACUUCGGGAUAAGCCCGGGAAACUGGGUCUAAUACCGGAUAUGAGCGCCCCUCGCAUGAGGGAUGCUGGAAAGUCUUUUCGGUUGGGGAUGGGCUCGCGGCCUAUCAGUUUGUUGGUGAGGUAAUGGCUCACCAAGACGACGACGGGUAACCGGCCUGGGCGGGCGACCGGCCACACUGGGACUGAGACACGGCCCAGACUCCUACGGGAGGCAGCAGUGGGGAAUAUUGCACAAUGGGGGAAACCCUGAUGCAGCGACGCAGCGUGCGGGAUGACGGCCUUCGGGUUGUAAACCGCUUUCAGCAGGGAAGAAGCCCCUUGGGGUGACGGUACCUGCAGAAGAAGUACCGGCUAACUACGUGCCAGCCGCCGCAGUAA